rnacentral:rRNA from 1 species
CCUUGUGCCAGCCGCCGCGGUAAAACCAGCUCUUCAAGUGGUCGGGAUAAUUAUUGGGCUUAAAGUGUCCGUAGCCGGUUUAGUAAGUUCCUGGUAAAACCGGGCAGCUUAACUGUCCGUAUGCUAGGAAUACUGCUAUGCUAGAGGGCGGGAGAGGUCUGAGGUACUACAGGGGUAGGGGUGAAAUCUUAUAAUCCUUGUAGGACCACCAGUGGCGAAAGCGUCAGACUGGAACGCGCCUGACGGUGAGGGACGAAAGCCAGGGGAGCGAACCGGAUUAGAUACCCGGGUAGUCCUGGCCGUAAACGAUGCAUACUAGGCAAUGGUGCGGCCAUGAGCCGCAUCAGUACCGUAGGGAAACCGUUAAGUGUGCCGCCUGGGAAGUACGGUCGCAAGGCUAAAACUUAAAGGAAUUGGCGGGGGAGCACCACAAGGGGUGAAGCCUGCGGUUCAAUUGGACUCAACGCCGGGAAACUUACCAGGGGAGACAGCAGAAUGACAGUCAGGUUGACGACCUUACUCGACGAGCUGAGAGGAGGUGCAUGGCCGUCGCCAGUUCGUGCUGUGAGGUAUCCUGUUAAGUCAGGCAACGAACGAGAUCCGCGCCUUUAUUUGCCAUCAAGGAGUCACGACUUCGUUGGGAACACUAAAGGGACCGCCGUCGAUAAGACGGAGGAAGGAGCGGGCAAAGGCAGGUCUGU